GACGAACGCUGGCGGCGUGUCUUAGCCAUGCAAGUCGAGCGGACUUAUGGGGUAACUUAUAAGUCAGCGGCGGACGGCGGAGUAACACGUAGCUAACCUACCCUCUGGACGGGGAUAACCUACCGAAAGGUGGGCUAAUACCCGAUGUAGUCAUCCUGUAUAGGGGUGAUGAAAGGUGGGCUUCUGUUUACAAGCUCAUGCUGGAGGAGGGGGCUGCGGCCUAUCAGGUAGUUGGUAGGGUAAUAGCCUACCAAGCCGAUGACGGGUAGCCGGCCUGAGAGGGUGACCGGCCCGAGGGGCACUGAGAUACGGGUCCCACUCCUACGGGAGGCAGCAGGCUAGAAAUUUGGGCAAUGGGGGAAACCCUGACCCAGUGACGCCGCGUGCAGGAAGGAGCCCUUCGGGGUGUAAACUGCUGUCGUGUAGGGAGAAGGGUACUAAGGUGAACAAUCUUAGUACUUGACGGUACUACAGGAGGAAGCCCAGGCUAACCUCGUGCCAGCAGCCGCGGUAA
rnacentral:rRNA from 1 species